rnacentral:misc_RNA from 1 species
UACGGAGGGUGCAAGCGUUGUUCGGAUUUACUGGGCGUAAAGCGUGUCUAGGCGGGUCUUCAAGUCAGGUGUGAAAGCCCCCGGCUCAACCGGGGAGGGUCACUUGAUACUGAGGAUCUUGAGUUUUGGAGAAGUGGGCGGAAUUCCCAGUGUAGAGGUGAAAUUCGUAGAUAUUGGGAGGAACACCGGCGGCGUAAGCGGCUCACUAGCCAAACACUGACGCUCAAGCACGAAAGCGUGGGUAGCAAACAGG